rfam:Aureobasidium pullulans var. pullulans EXF-150 unplaced genomic scaffold scaffold_2, whole genome shotgun sequence.
GCCCCUUUAGCUCAGUUGGUAGAGCGCGGCACUAGUAAUGCCGAGGUCACCGGUUCGACUCCGUUAGGGGGCA